rfam:Dipodomys ordii contig_49395, whole genome shotgun sequence.
GGUGGCUCAGUGGUAGAGCUCUUGCCUUGCAUGCCAAAGGCCCUGGGUUCAAUUCCUCAGCACCA